rnacentral:misc_RNA from 1 species
AAGUCGUAACAAGGUUUCCGUAGGUGAACCUGCGGAAGGAUCAUUAGUGAACAAGCCGGUGUGGUUGUUGCUGGCCCCUGCUGGGGCAUGUGCACGCCCGCCAUUUGUUUCAUUCCUUCUUCCCACCUGUGCACUCCUGUAGGUCAGCCAGCCAAACACCUUCUCGUGUCAAUCUCGACUUGGUGUGCAGUUGGAGCAACUGGUCUACGUUUUCUCAUCAACUCCAAUGAAUGUGUUAGAGUGUAGAACAAGGUCCAUCAUGGCCUUAUAAAUAUUAAUACAACUUUCAACAACGGAUCUCUUGGCUCUC